UAGGGAAUCUUCCGCAAUGGGCGAAAGCCUGACGGAGCAACGCCUCGUGAGUGAUGAAGUUCUUCGGAUCGUAAAACUCUGUUAUUAGGGAAGAACAAAUGUGUAAGUAACUAUGCACGUCUUGACGGUACCUAAUCAGAAAGCCACGGCUAACUACGUGCCAGCAGCCGCGGUAAUACGUAGGUGGCAAGCGUUAUCCGGCAUUAUUGGGCGUAAAGCGCGCGUAGGCGGUUUUUUAAGUCUGAUGUGAAAGCCCACGGCUCAACCGUUGAGGGUCAUUGGCAGCUGGAAAACUUGAGUGCAGAAGAGGAAAGUGGAAUUCCAUGUGUAGCGGUGAAAUGCGCAGAGAUAUGGAGGAACACCAGUGGCGAAGGCGACUUUCUGGUCUGUAACUGACGCUGAUGUGCGAAAGCGUGGGGAUCAAACAGG
rnacentral:rRNA from 1 species